UACGUAGGGUGCAAGCGUUAAUCGGAAUUACUGGGCGUAAAGCGUGCGCAGGCGGUUUCGUAAGUCUGUCGUGAAAUCCCCGGGCUUAACCUGGGAAUGGCGAUGGAGACUGCGAGGCUAGAGUUUGGCAGAGGGGGGUAGAAUUCCACGUGUAGCAGUGAAAUGCGUAGAGAUGUGGAGGAAUACCAAUGGCGAAGGCAGCCCCCUGGGAUAAUAUUGACGCUCAUGCACGAAAGCGUGGGGAGCAAACAGG
rnacentral:rRNA from 1 species